GGAGCGCUUGUGGGCCUCUCUAUAGCAGCGGUGGUCCUGUUUGCUUUUAUCAUCACUGUGUGUGUUCUCUGUUACUUGUUUAUCAGUACGAAGCCACGCAGCAAACUGGAUACUGGCUUAAGCUUACAGGUGGCAGGCAGUGAGACUAGACGGAGUUCUGUCUGUUAAAAAGUAGAGGCACUGGAUGGAUUCUGCUAAUACUGUAAUGAAAUAGGUACAGAGCUGCAUCCUUUAGAAGGCCCCCACCAAACCAACCUAUUGACAGGACAAAUGGCUUCAAGAGACAAUUCCUUAGCCACAAGGAUAGACUGUGACCAUCGUCCCAAGAACCUGACUCACUCUUCCACGGGUGUUUUUUGACUACUUGCAACCACUACUGAUAUCCAGAGGCCAACCUGAAGCUGUACCAGGAUAUGUGUUUGUGUAUCAUUACUUUACUGAGAGGCAGCAUCUUUUAAUUUGCACAUACCUGCUACUGCAGCUAAUCAUUUUCAUGCAAAUUGUUGUCUUACUCUGUGCAGUUCCCAGGAGACAGCACAGCUGUCAGGCAGAGCAGAAUUUGGUACCCCAUGCUGGCCAAGCUUUGUUUUAAGCUCUCCUUGUGUACCACCUUCAUGUGGUGUCUUCACAUCAUUAAUAUGUUCUUAUCUAGACAAAUGUGAUGGUUUGGUGUUCAAACAUAUGUGAAUACAGUACCUCAAUAAAAUUUGGCAUUUGCUUG